GAUGAACGCUGGCGGCGUGCCUAAUACAUGCAAGUCGAGCGAACAGACGAGGAGCUUGCUCCUUCGACGUUAGCGGCGGACGGGUGAGUAACACGUAGGUAACCUACCUAUAAGACUGGGAUAACUUCGGGAAACCGGAGCUAAUACCGGAUAAUAUUUCGAACCGCAUGGUUCGAUAGUGAAAGAUGGCUUUGCUAUCACUUAUAGAUGGACCUGCGCCGUAUUAGCUAGUUGGUAAGGUAACGGCUUACCAAGGCAACGAUACGUAGCCGACCUGAGAGGGGGAUCGGCCAAACUGGAAAUGAGACACGGUCCAGACUCCUACGGGAGGCAGCAGGAGGGAAUCUUCCGCAAUGGGGGAAAGCCUGACGGAGCAACGCCGGGGGAGGGAUGAAGGGUUUCGGAUCGUAAAACUUUGUUAUUAGGGAAAAACAAACGUGUAAGUAACUGGGCCCGUCUUGACGGUACCUAAUCAAAAAGCCACGGCUAACUACGG
rnacentral:rRNA from 1 species